rnacentral:rRNA from 1 species
GGAGUAUGGGCCGUGUCUCAGUCCCAUUGUGGCCGUUCACCCUCUCAGGUCGGCUAAACAUCCUCGCCUUGGUGGGCUGUUAUCUCACCAACUAGCUAAUGUUCCGCAGGUCCAUCUAAAAGUGCCGCAAACGCGACUUUCAAGCGGAAGCGAUGCCGCUCCCGUUGUUAUCCGGUAUUAGCCAAAGUUUCCUCUGGGUAUCCCAGUCUUAAAGGCAGGUUACCUACGUGUUACUCACCCGUUCGCCGCUAGGUAGCAAGCUACCUCGCACGACUUGCAUGUAUUAGGCACGCCGCCAGCGUUCAUC